rnacentral:rRNA from 1 species
CCCUUAGAGUUUGAUCCUGGCUCAGAUUGAACGCUGGCGGCAGGCCUAACACAUGCAAGUCGAGCGGUAACAGAUUGAUAGCUUGCUAUCAAUGCUGACGAGCGGCGGACGGGUGAGUAAUGCCUGGGAAUAUGCCCUGAUGUGGGGGAUAACUAUUGGAAACGAUAGCUAAUACCGCAUAAUCUCUUCGGAGCAAAGAGGGGGACCUUCGGGCCUCUCGCGUCAGGAUUAGCCCAGGUGGGAUUAGCUUGUUGGUGGGGUAAUGGCUUACCAAGGCAACGAUCCCUAGCUGGUCUGAGAGGAUGAUCAGCCACACUGGAACUGAGACACGGUCCAGACUCCUACGGGAGGCAGCAGUGGGGAAUAUUGCACAAUGGGGGAAACCCUGAUGCAGCCAUGCCGCGUGUAUGAAGAAGGCCUUCGGGUUGUAAAGUACUUUCAGUUGUGAGGAAGGCAGUAAAGUUAAUAGCUUUGCUGUUUGACGUUAGCAACAGAAGAAAGCACCGGCUAACUCCGUGC